ACAAUAUAAUAUUAGAACGACAGAACAACAGGUAGAGGGAUAGAAAGGCAGAAUGUUCGAUAGAAUGACAGACAAACACACAGACAGAUAGACUCUCACCCAGCAACAUCUGGAGCACUUAGAAAUGAAUGCUGACAUAAAUUACUAUGUAUUUACAUUUAAAAGUGUGUGUGUUUUGAGUAGGUGUGUCUGUCCAUCUGGUAUUGGGGCGGGGCCAGAAGGGUGGCACGGGGUGGCAGCUUCUACCCUAAAAAUUUGCUUUGCCACCCCAAGCGCAACGGCUUAACCCGUCCAUUUAACCCAACAACCCCACCCACUAUGAUGUCUGGUAGGACACAGCGUUCCUCCACAGCCGAGAACCCGAACCCACACCUAUUAUAUCACUUCUGAACAUAUGGAUUUUUUAAUUUUUUAUUUUAGCUACAGAGGUCUGAUAACCAUUCACUUGCAUUGUGUGGACCUACAGAGCUUUGUUUGUAUUCUGCUGAAGAAAGAAAGUCAUCAACAUCUGGGAUGGCAUGAGGCGCUGUUUGGGUGGAGUAAAGUUUACAUAUGUGGCUUGAACAGUCCGAUGCAUCUACACUUGACCAAGCUUUGUUUGGAAUGCUUCUCAAACCACCACCAGAGAACAUGCAGCAGCCAUACAUCUGGACCCAUAAUGGCAAUCUUA